rnacentral:rRNA from 1 species
UGGGGAAUUUUGGACAAUGGGCGCAAGCCUGAUCCAGCCAUGCCGCGUGCGGGAAGAAGGCCUUCGGGUUGUAAAGCUCUUUUACCAGGGACGAUAAUGACGGUACCUGGAGAAUAAGCCCCGGCAAACUUCGUGCCAGCAGCCGCGGUAAUACGAAGGGGGCUAGCGUUGUUCGGAAUUACUGGGCGUAAAGCGCACGUAGGCGGAUUGUUAAGUCAGAGGUGAAAUCCCGGAGCUCAACUUCGGAACUGCCUUUGAUACUGGCAAUCUAGAGUCCGGAAGAGGUUAGUGGAAUUCCCAGUGUAGAGGUGAAAUUCGUAGAUAUUGGGAAGAACACCAGUGGCGAAGGCGGCUAACUGGUCCGGUACUGACACUGAGGCACGAAAGCGUGGGGAGCAAACAGGAUUAGAUACCCCAGUAGUCCCUGAGCGGGCUGGCAAGGCGCAU